GCGUCCAUGGUCUAGUGGUUAGGAUUCAACCCUUCCAACUCGAUUGAGUUGAUGAUAGGUUGAGGGGGGGGUUCGAUUCCCUCUGGUCGCA